rnacentral:rRNA from 1 species
UACAGAGGUCCCGAGCGUUGUUCGGAUUCACUGGGCGUAAAGGGUGCGCAGGUGGGUUUGCAAGUUCGAUGUGAAAGCCCCGGGCUUAACCCGGGAAAGGCAUUGGAUACUGCAGAUCUGGAGGAUCGGAGGGGGACUGGAAUUCUUGGUGUAGCAGUGAAAUGCGUAGAUAUCAAGAGGAACACCAGUGGCGAAGCGAGUCCCUGGACGAUACCUGACACUGAGGCACGAAAGCCGGGGGAGCAAACAGGAUUAG